rnacentral:lncRNA from 13 species
CGCAUGACUUUUGUGUUGGUCUGCUGAAAUGACAAAUGACGUGGGGAUGUAAACAGCAUGCCAGGUGUUUCUGCAAAGUUAAGGCAAUUAAUUGAACCAACCACUCCUGCUGCCCAAGCAAUUUAAGAUGGGGAAAUAAACGUGUAGAAAGGCCUGCUGACACGUGGCUUCAAAUCCUCUGGCAGAACACAGACUUCGCCCAUCUCUGCUGCAUUCCCUGGGUCGCCCUCGUCCCCUGUUGCUCCCCCAGUGCUGCACUUCCCUUUGUGGAC